UACGUAGGGUGCGAGCGUUGUCCGGAAUUAUUGGGCGUAAAGAGCUCGUAGGCGGUUUGUCGCGUCUGCUGUGAAAUCCCAGGGCUUAACCCUGGGCCUGCAGUGGGUACGGGCAAACUAGAGUGCGGUAGGGGAGGUCGGAAUUCCUGGUGUAGCGGUGAAAUGCGCAGAUAUCAGGAGGAACACCGGUGGCGAAGGCGGAUCUCUGGGCCGUAACUGACGCUGAGGAGCGAAAGCAUGGGUAGCGAACAGG
rnacentral:rRNA from 1 species